UUAAAAUGAAUUGACGGGGGCCCGCACAAGCAGCGGAGCAUGUGGUUUAAUUCGAAGCAACGCGAAGAACCUUACCUAGACUUGACAUCUCCUGCAUUACCCUUAAUCGGGGAAGCCCUUCGGGGCAGGAAGACAGGUGGUGCAUGGUUGUCGUCAGCUCGUGUCGUGAGAUGUUGGGUUAAGUCCCGCAACGAGCGCAACCCUUAUUUUAGUUGCUACCAUUCAGUUGAGCACUCUAAAGAGACUGCCCGGGUUAACCGGGAGGAAGGUGGGGAUGACGUCAAAUCAUCAUGCCCCUUAUGUCUAGGGCUACACACGUGCUACAAUGGUGAGAACAAAGAGACGCAAGACCGCGAGGUGGAGCAAAUCUCACAAAACUCAUCCCAGUUCGGAUUGCAGGCUGAAACUCGCCUGCAUGAAGCCGGAGUUGCUAGUAAUCGCGAAUCAGCAUGUCGCGGUGAAUACGUUCCCGGGCCUU
rnacentral:rRNA from 1 species